AUUUUAUCAGUCACCAAUAGGUUUCUGUGCUCCAGUGACCUUGAAGUCAAUACCAGUGCCAAGAGCUCACUGUCUGCUGUUUCUUCUUGCAUUAUUGGUUUGAGAACCAUAAAAACAUCAGAGAUUUACUAUAAAUCACAAGCUCUCCUCCUCCUGCCACAGAUCGAAACCAGAGAUGUCUGAGGUGGAGCUGGGCACCUGUUCUUGUGAGGGGGCCACCCCCUUGGUGUAUUGCUGGUGAAAGCCUGCAGCCUUCCAAGGUCAUCAGCCAACAUCCUGGCUCCAGCUGAGCAAGAUGCAAAGGUAAAGACUUGUGUGGUUUGAUCUUGACAGAAUAAUCUAGAUUAGCAGCUGCUGUUGCAAUCCAGACUGUUU
rnacentral:lncRNA from 1 species